GAAUGUGAAGACAGGAGAGGAAGGUGUAGAUGACAGUGCGGGGGUGUGCUUGCUGCUGGCACCUUAUGCGGCUCCUCUACCACCUUGAGUAGAAGAUGGUAGUAUAUGCAGAGUCGAUGGCCAUGGUGGAAGAGGACCACGAGCAUCACUGGUGCCGAAACGAAGCUCAAUUGCUCCCCACAUGCAUCGUAUGGUCACUAGGAUCAUCUAUGGAUCAACUGAGGAAGCAUAAAUGAGGAGGUGGUAAGUUUCAGCCAUUUUGUAGAUUUGAUAAAGUUUUAAAAAGUUCCAAGGUGGGAUGACAAAUUUCUGAAGUGGUGGCAAUGCUGAGCAAAUGGCAAGCUGGAACUAUUGCUAGAGUUGCUGAAGUUUUAAAAGGUUGCAAGAUGAGAUGAAAAACUUCUAAAGUGAGGACAAUGCUCUAGAGUUAGGGUGAAUGAGGAUAAUAAAAAAUGAAAGGGAAGUAGGGUUAAGGAUAAAAAUGUUGUUUUCUUUUCUUGGAAGGAGAUGGUGGUAAGGAAUUAUGAGAAAAAUGUGGAGAAUAUAUAUCUU